AAAAUGCGAUAAGUAAUGUGAAUUGCAGAAUUCAGUGAAUCAUCGAAUCUUUGAACGCACAUUGCGCCCGCCAGUAUUCUGGCGGGCAUGCCUGUUCGAGCGUCAUUUCAACCCUCAAGCUCAGCUUGGUGUUGGGACUCGCGGUAACCCGCGUUCCCCAAAUCGAUUGGCGGUCACGUCGAGCUUCCAUAGCGUAGUAAUCAUACACCUCGUUACUGGUAAUCGUCGCGGCCACGCCGUAAAACCCCAACUUCUGAAUGUUGACCUCGGAUCAGGUAGGAAUACCCGCUUAACUUAAGC
rnacentral:misc_RNA from 1 species